GGGAGGGGGUGACCAGUGACAGAGUGAGGGGGUGACUAGUGGCAGAGUGAGGGAAGGAAGGGGUGACUAGUGACAGAGUGAGGGAGGUGGUGACUGUCACUAGUCACCACCUCCCUCACUCUGUCACUAGUCACCACCUCCCUCACUCUGUCACUACUCCCCCCUCCUUCUGUCACUAGUCACCCCCUCCGUCCCUUACUCUGUCACUAGUCACCCCCUCCCUCACUCGGUCACCAGUCACCCCCUCACUCUGUCACUAGUCACCCCCUCACUC